CUGUUAUGUUUUAUCUUUAUUUCAUUUCUCCGUCAACUCAUGUACCAUGACUUGAGUUGACCAACAAUUAAAGAAGACAUGCUCCACCUGUAAACCUCCACCUUCAACACCACCAGUAAGGUGGAGGUAGAGAAGAGAACCCUGUUGACGAAAAAAAGUAAGAAAACUUAUUUUUACCCAGCUAACAAUUUUAAAUAUGAAUGAAAUUAAGGUCAAAUUUCAAAGCUGUUCUUUCUUCUGUCCAUGUUCUCUUUUUUAUAAACUCUGAUGUCUUUUCUCUUUAUUUCAUUUCUCCGUCAACUCAUGUACCUCAACUUGAGUUGACCAACAAUUAAAGAAGACGACCUGCUCCAACUGCUGAUCUACUGGUUGUAACAGAUUGUGGAAAAGCAUCACCAGCAGCACUGGACCAAUCAGGAGAGAGAAGACACAGAGGACUGAAGGGACUCAGAAAAUCCUGCUGGAAAUCCCAAGAUGAAGUUUCCUGAUGCAACAGGGGGACACCUGAGGACACAGAAUAAAGAAGGACCAUGUGAAGCAGGUCCUUCAAUAACAAACCAAGCAUGAGUUGACCAACACUGACAGCAGGUUACUUUGUCCAUCUACUCAUCUACUGGUUGUAACAGAUGAUGGUGAAGGUUGAGGAGAUAAUGACUUGAUCAGAAACUGUGGCCGACAACUGCAAACGCGCAGCAAACAGCAAAACGAGCUGCAAACAGACUCAUGAAGAGGACGGUCAGAGUCGUCCAUAGCUUUCUUGACUCUUCUGAAGAAUCUUUCUUUGCGUCAUCUCCAGAGAUUCCACAGUCAUCUCCAGAACAGAACCAGAACCAAUCCAGCCUUCUUUAUCAGAUUGUUGAGCCUUUUGAGGUUCCUGGCUCUGAUGCUGCUGCACCAACAGAUGAUAGCAGAAGAGAUGACACUCUCAGCAGCAGACUUAAAGAUCUGCAGCAACUUGCUGCAAACCUUGAAGGAUCUUAGCUUCCUGGAGAAGUGCAGUCUGCUCUGUCUCUUUUUGUAGACGGCUUGUCCAUGUGGUUCCUGCCUUCUGUUGCGUCUCCAGUCCAGUCUGUGUUCCAGAUGAACACCGAGUCAGGAUUAGAUGAUUGUUCCCUCACCUGGCCACAAAGUGAUCCACCAGAUCUCUGUACUCAGCCUCUUGUCUUCCUCUGAUACACAACAACUGCAGAUUCGUCUGAGUAUUUCUGUAGAUGACAGAAGUCGGACUUGUGCUGGAAGUCUGAAGAGUAGAGGGUGAAAAUGAAUGGUUGUCACAGAUGCAGGUGAUUGUUGAGGCCUCCACCUGUGUCUUCUGGAGUUUCUAACAGAGCAGAUCAGGCUGAAUUGUGUUCAAUGCACCUGGGAACCAAAGACCCUGAUCCUCACUGUGCUGCCUGCUUUGUCCAGAUGACAGUGGGUUUGUUGAAGCAGGUGUCUGAUCAACUCCAACUCCACGGCGAUAAGCAAACUGCAGGGGGUCCUGAUAUGUGAUCGUCUGCUUACUCAAGUGGGCCACCAGGAAUCUCUCCAGGACCUUCAUGAUGUGGGACGUCAGGGCAACAGGUCUACAGUCAUUAUGACUGAUGGGUGACUUUUCUUCGGUACCGGAACCAGACAGGAUGUCUUCCACAACAACGGAACCUCCUCUUGGGUCAGGCAAAGGUUGAAGAGAUGCUGCAGAAUCCCACAGAGGGAAUCUGGGACUGACAGCAUCUGGACCUGCAGC